AUCUGGUAUUCCAUCAUUGUCAUCAUCAUCAUCUAUAUAAUCAGGUAUACCAUCCUCAUCUGUAUCUAUUUCUUGAUAAUCUGGAAUUCCAUUUUUAUUUAUGUCCAAUGUCUUAAGUUGAUCAGGUAUACCAUCACCAUCAUCAUCAUCAUCCAAACUAUCUGGAAUACCAUCGUUGUCAUCAUCAUCAUCUAAAUAAU